rnacentral:rRNA from 1 species
GGAAUUGACGGGGCUCACACAAGCGGUGGAGCAUGUGGCUUAAUUCGAAGCAACGCGAAGAACCUUAUCCUGGGUUUGACAUGUAUGGAUGCCCUCGAUGAAAGUCGAGUAAGCUGCCUUCGGGUGAAACAUACACAGGUGCUGCAUGGCUGUCGUCAGCUCGUGUCGUGAGAUGUUGGGUUAAGUCCCGCAACGAGCGCAACCCUUACCCUUAGUUGUUUCCCGAAAGGAUUACCCUCUAAGGGGACUGCCCCGGACAACGGGGAGGAAGGUGGGGAUGACGUCAAGUCCGCAUGCUCCUUACGUCUAGGGCUACACACGUCCUACAAUGGGGUCGACAGUGGGAUGCAAAGCCGCGAGGUGGAGCCAAUCCCCAAACGGCCUCUCAGUUCGGAUAGUAGUCUGCAACUCGACUACUUGAAGUCGGAAUCGCUAGUAAUGGCGGAUCAGCAUGCCGCCGUGAAUACGUUCCCGGGUCUU